CAUGGGAUUGAUCACCUUGUGAUUGCCACAAGAGACUACAUCUUCGCACCAUCCCUCGAAGAUAUUUGUCAAGCCAUCGAUUUUAUCCACCGGAGAUAAGGAGGAGAAAAAGCAGAGGUGCAUGUGAUUAUUCAGGUCAGAUUGUCCAUGUGUUCUGUUUGCCACCAAAGUUAGAUGCCUCUCCUCAUUUUCAGAUUAUGAUUUGAAGUCUUGUUUGAAUA